rnacentral:rRNA from 1 species
CUACGUGCCAGCAGCCGCGGUAAUACGUAGGGUGCGAGCGUUAAUCGGAAUUACUGGGCGUAAAGCGAGCGCAGACGGUUACUUAAGCAGGAUGUGAAAUCCCCGGGCUCAACCUGGGAACUGCGUUNUGAACUGGGUGACUAGAGUGUGUCAGAGGGAGGUAGAAUUCCACGUGUAGCAGUGAAAUGCGUAGAGAUGUGGAGGAAUACCGAUGGCGGAGGCAGCCUCCUGGGAUAACACUGACGUUCAUGCUCGAAAGCGUGGGUAGCAAACAGGAUUAGAUACCCUGGUAGUCCACGCCCUAAACGAUGUCAAUUAGCUGUUGGGCAACUUGAUUGCUUAGUAGCGUAGCUAACGCGUGAAAUUGACCGCCUGGGGAGUACGGUCGCAAGAUUAAAACUCAAAGGAAUUGACGGGGACCCGCACAAGCGGUGGAUGAUGUGGAUUAAUUCGAUGCAACGCGAAGAACCUUACCUGGUCUUGACAU